AGUGAACGCUGGCGGUAGGCCCAACACAUGCAAGUCGAACGGCAGCACAGUAAGAGCUUGCUCUUACGGGUGGCGAGUGGCGGACGGGUGAGGAAUACAUCGGAAUCUACUUUUUCGUGGGGGAUAACGUAGGGAAACUUACGCUAAUACCGCAUACGACCUACGGGUGAAAGCAGGGGAUCUUCGGACCUUGCGCGAUUGAAUGAGCCGAUGUCGGAUUAGCUAGUUGGCAGGGUAAAGGCCCACCAAGGCGACGAUCCGUAGCUGGUCUGAGAGGAUGAUCAGCCACACUGGAACUGAGACACGUUCCAGACUCCUACGGGAGGCAGCAGUGGGGAAUAUUGGACAAUGGGCGCAAGCCUGAUCCAGCCAUACCGCGUGGGUGAAGAAGGCCUGCGGGUUGUAAAGCCCUUUUGUUGGGAAAGAAAAGCAGCAGGUUAAUACCCCGCUGUUCGGACGGUACCCAAAGAAUAAGCACCGGCUAACUUCGU
rnacentral:rRNA from 1 species